GCCUUGGUGUUCAGUGUACGGUGCUGGGCUCGAGCACAUUCACUAACAAGUAGUAUUCCUGGUGCAUGGAUUACAAAUUUCUCCCUUACAAUGAUGGUCAUCUUUUUUCUCCAGAGAAGAUCACCCCCUAUUCUUCCAACACUAGAUUCCUUAAAAACCCUAGCAGAUGCAGAAGAUAAAUGUGUAAUAGAAGGCAACAACUGCACAUUUGUUCGUGACUUGAGUAGAAUUAAACCUUCACAGAACACAGAAACAUUAGAAUUACUACUGAAGGAAUUUUUUGAGUAUUUUGGCAAUUUUGCUUUCGAUAAAAAUUCCAUAAAUAUUCGACAGGGAAGGGAGCAAAACAAACCUGAUUCUUCUCCUCUGUACAUUCAGAAUCCAUUUGAAACUUCUCUCAACAUAAGCAAAAAUGUAAGUCAAAGCCAGCUGCAAAAAUUUGUAGAUUUGGCCCGAGAAAGUGCCUGGAUUUUACAACAGGAAGAUACAGAUCGACCUUCCAUAUCAAGUAAUCGGCCCUGGGGGCUGGUAUCCCUAUUGCUACCAUCUGCUCCAAACAGAAAGUCCUUUACCAAGAAGAAAAGCAAUAAGUUUGCAAUUGAAACAGUCAAAAACUUGCUAGAAUCUUUAAAAGGUAACAGAACAGAAAAUUUCACAAAAACCAGUGGGAAGAGAACAAUUAGUACUCAGACAUGAUGGCUGCUACAUUGUGUAAAGAACUGGGCUUAGCCUAUCAAAUGGUCUGUGGACUUACUUGGAAAAACUGAUUUGAAACUUUCACAGAUCUCAGCUUUCAUCUGAUGUCACUUUUCAUGAUCUUCUCAUUGGCCCCCUUAACCUGGUCUGAAGUUCUGGGAUGUUUUCAGUUUGAUCAGUCUGAUACUCAGUGGCACUUUAUUAAAACAUCAGCUGUGGAGUGUGGCGGUGCACACCUGUAGUCCCAGCUGCUCAGGAGGCUGAGGCAGGAGGAUCUCUUGAGCCCAGGAUUUUGAAUCCAUCGUGGACAACAUAGCAAGAUUCCAUCUC
rnacentral:lncRNA from 1 species